rnacentral:rRNA from 1 species
CUACGGGAGGCAGCAGUGAGGAAUAUUGGUCAAUGGACGAAAGUCUGAACCAGCCAUGCCGCGUGAAGGAUUAAGGCCCUCUGGGUUGUAAACUUCUUUUAUCUGGGACGAAAAAAGGGUAUUCUUACUCACUUGACGGUACCAGAGGAAUAAGCACCGGCUAACUCCGUGCCAGCAGCCGCGGUAAUACGGAGGGUGCAAGCGUUAUCCGGAUUUACUGGGUUUAAAGGGUGCGUAGGUGGGUUUGUAAGUCAGUGGUGAAAUCUCCGAGCUUAACUCGGAAACUGCCGUUGAUACUAUAAAUCUUGAAUUAUAUGGAGGUAAGCGGAAUAUGUCAUGUAGCGGUGAAAUGCUUAGAUAUGACAUAGAACACCAAUUGCGAAGGCAGCUUACUACGUAUUUAUUGACACUGAGGCACGAAAGCGUGGGGAUCAAACAGGAUUAGAAACCCCAGUAGUCC